GCUUCGUUGGUGCAGUAGGCAGCGCGUCAGUCUCAUAAUCUGAAGGUUGUGAGUUCGAGCCUCACACGGGGCA
rnacentral:tRNA from 2 species